GCUGGGUAUGGUGGGGCAUACCUGUAGUCCCAGCUCCUUAGGAGGCUGAGGCAGGAGAAUCACUUGAGCCCAGGAGUUCAAGACUGCAGUGAGCUAUGAUCACACCACAGCACUCCAGCUUGCACAACAGAGUGAGACCCUGUCUCUA
ensembl:misc_RNA Metazoa_SRP Metazoan signal recognition particle RNA